rnacentral:rRNA from 1 species
AUGGAUUACAUAAAGGAUGAUCCAGGACUUCGCAUUCCACUUGAUAGAUUUAGCCCCAAUAUUAGAGAUGAUGUUAGAUUUGCUUACAUAGAGAUGGGUCCAACUCAACCAAUGUGUCCCAAUUUUCCACCAAAUAAAGAUGAAAGAUGCUUUCGAGCAGCAUGGUAUAAGGAUUUUGAAUGGUUGGAAUAUAGUGUUUCCAAGAAAAAAGCUUACUGUCACUAUUGUUUUCUUUUUAAACAUGACCGAAUGGAUGAUAAAUUUGGUUAUGAGGUUUUCUCCAAAUUGGGGUAUGACAAUUGGAAAAAUGCAGUAGCAGCAUUCCGUAAGCAUGUCGGUGGGGCAACUAGCAUCCACAAUAUGUCAAAGACAGCACAUGAAGAUUUCAAAGAUCAAAGGGCAAGUUUGAAAACUAAAGUAACAACUUACAACAAAGAGUCACUAGUCAAGUAUGAAACUCGUGUGGAUACAUCUUUGGGCAUUGUAAGUUAUCUAGCAUUGCAAGGUGAACCAUUCCGUGGGCAUGAUGAAUCCACUUCCUCUUUGAACAAGGGGAAUUUUUUAGAGUUACUUGAUUGGGUCAAAGAAAGGUGCCCGGAAGUUAAACUUGCAUUUGAUGAGCUAUGUCCUAAAAAUGCCAAAAUGACUUCAGGAACCAUGCAAAAAGAACUUGCUAAAUAUUGUGCAAUGGCGGUCACCAAAGCAAUCAAAGAAGAGAUGGAUGGUUGUCUUUUCACUGUUCUUAUUGAUGAGUGCCGUGAUAUUUCAGUGAAAGAGCAAAUGGCUGUGGUUGUCAGGUUCUUAAGUAAAAAAGGAGAGACCAUUGAAAGAUUUUUGGGUAUCAAGCAUGUCCCAGAUACAACAUCAGCAUCUUUGAAGAAGGCUCUGUUGGAGGUUUUUGGUAAACAUGGUUUGCUUGUUGCAAAAUUGCGAGGGCAAGGGUAUGAUGGUGCAUCUAAUAUGAGAGGAGAAUUCAACGGCCUUCAAAAGUUAAUCUGUGAUGAGAAUCCAUAUGCUUUCUAUAUUCACUGCUUUGCCCACCAACUACAAUUGGUAGUUGUUGCUGUUUCGAGAUGUUGCAAGGGCGUUGAGGAUUUUUUUGAGUAUGUGACCAUGAUUGUCAAUGUAAGUGGUUCAUCUUGCAGGAGGAAGGAUAAAUUGCUUGAUAAGCAAAAGCAGAUCCUUUUGGAUAAGAUUGAGAGGGGUGAGAUGCCCACGGGAAGAGGGAAAAAUCAAGCAACCUCAUUGGUCAGACCUGGAGAUACACGUUGGGGCUCUCAUUACACAACUUUAUCCCGCAUUGAAUCAAUGUGGGAUGCAGUGAUAGAAGUUUUGGGCAUUGUUGAGGAGGAUGUGCGUGUUCCAUGUAGGGCAGGAGGUUUGGUUCAUCAAAUGGAGACUUUCAGCUUCGUGUUCAUCCUAAAGAUGAUGUUAAAAAUCCUUCGUAUGACAAAUGAUCUAUCUCUUCUAUUGCAAAAGAAGGAUCAAAAUGUUGUUCAGGCUAUGUCAUUGGUUACGGAUGUGAGAACACGUUUGAUCAAUUGGAGAAAUGAUGGUUGGGAGACACUCUUGGAAGAUGUCAAAGCAUUCUGCACCAAAAAUGAAAUUCCUAUACCAAGUAUGGAUGACACCUUCACAAAAUGGGGGAAAUCAAGAAAAGGUGGAAGAAACAAUGUCACUGCUGAUCAUUUUUUCCGUGUGGACACCUUCUAUGUUGCUAUAGACUCCAUCACCACGGAGUUUGAUCAUCGUUUUAAUGAGGUAUCUUCAGAGCUCCUCCAGAACUUCUCUUGUCUUGACCCAAGAGACUCCUUUUCUAGGUUCAAUAUCAGUAAGCUUGCUCGACUCACAGAGAUUUAUCAUGAGGAUUUCUCUAGUUAUGACCGUGAGCAUAUACAAGAUCAUCUUGAGCUAUUCAUUAUUCAUAUGAGAAGAAUUGAAGAUUUUAGAGAUUGUCAUGAUAUUGCAAGCCUAGCUAAAAAGAUGGUUGAACUUGAAAGGCACAUCAUGUUUCCCACGGUUUAUCGCCUCAUUGAGCUGGCAUUGCUACUACCGGUAGCAACAGCAACAGUUGAAAGGGCUUUUUCAGCAAUGAAAAUCAUCAAGACCGAGUUGCGCAGCAAGAUGUCCGAUGGCUGGCUUAAUGACUUGAUGGUGUGUUACAUUGAGCGAGGGAUAUUCAAAAGUCUUGAUCUUGGUAAAAUUAAGAAAGAUUUUCACAAGAAGGGUAGGGCACUACCGUUGCCUGGGUCUUCUACGCGCCAUUAA